UGCAGCCUUGUCAAAUUCAGUGCCUCCUCCUCAGUGGAAGCCACUGGCCUAAAUGGCUGCCACAGUGAAGCUGUAGCUCAUGGGCCCCACUACCCUCUAACCUGGCUGCUGGGGAUAAAUAUGUGCUACACACAAAU
ensembl:snoRNA small nucleolar RNA SNORA5